rnacentral:tRNA from 1 species
GCAAGAGUAAUCAAAGGGUAAGGUACAUUUAGCUAAUGGUUUGUUGGUUCGAGUCCAACCUUUUGCA